rnacentral:rRNA from 1 species
GAUGAACGCUGGCGGCGUGCCUAAUACAUGCAAGUCGAGCGAACAGACGAGGAGCUUGCUCCUUUGACGUUAGCGGCGGACGGGUGAGUAACACGUGGAUAACCUACCUAUAAGACUGGGAUAACUUCGGGAAACCGGAGCUAAUACCGGAUAACAUGUUGAACCGCAUGGUUCAACAGUGAAAGACGGUCUUGCUGUCACUUAUAGAUGGAUCCGCGCCGCAUUAGCUAGUUGGUAAGGUAACGGCUUACCAAGGCAACGAUGCGUAGCCGACCUGAGAGGGUGAUCGGCCACACUGGAACUGAGACACGGUCCAGACUCCUACGGGAGGCAGCAGUAGGGAAUCUUCCGCAAUGGGCGAAAGCCUGACGGAGCAACGCCGCGUGAGUGAAGAAGGUCUUCGGAUCGUAAAACUCUGUUACUAGGGAAGAACAAAUGUGUAAGUAACUAUGCACGUCUUGACGGUACCUAAUCAGAAAGCCACGGCUAACUACGUG